GAUGAACGCUGGCGGCGUGCCUAAUACAUGCAAGUCGAGCGAACGGACGAGAAGCUUGCUUCUCUGAUGUUAGCGGCGGACGGGUGAGUAACACGUGGAUAACCUACCUAUAAGACUGGGAUAACUUCGGGAAACCGGAGCUAAUACCGGAUAAUAUUUUGAACCGCAUGGUUCAAAAGUGAAAGACGGUCUUGCUGUCACUUAUAGAUGGAUCCGCGCUGCAUUAGAUAGUUGGUAAGGUAACGGCUUACCAAGGCAACGAUGCAUAGCCGACCUGAGAGGGUGAUCGGCCACACUGGAACUGAGACACGGUCCAGACUCCUACGGGAGGCAGCAGUAGGGAAUCUUCCGCAAUGGGCGAAAGCCUGACGGAGCAACGCCGCGUGAGUGAUGAAGGUCUUCGGAUCGUAAAACUCUGUUAUUAGGGAAGAACAUAUGUGUAAGUAACUGUGCGCAUCUUGACGGUACCUAAUCAGAAAGCCACGGCUAACUACGUG
rnacentral:rRNA from 1 species